AGCAUCUUAGCUCUCACUGCUUAGGCUUUUCGUUAAUACUUAGUUUUUCGUCAGUAAAUCCAGAAUUUUCGAUUCAAGUUAUCAAGCAGGCGAGUAUUGUUAAUGUUUUGGGUAGCAUCUAGACAUUGUACAGUAUAGUAUAUUUCUGAAAUUUGUGCUGAAAGUAGCUAAUUUUGCAACUUUUUUUUUACCUUAAUCACAACAUUUUUAGAAAAAUUUUACUUGUAAAAUAUUUUUAUACGACGAGAAGAAAAAGCUAAAACAAUGGCUGAUCAGCAAAAUGUUACACCCAGCACAAACAAAGCCUUCGAAACUUUUAUUAACGCAUAUUCAUCACAAUAUGGAAACGAUACGCUUUCUCUGAUUCAAGGUGGAAAAUUGUGGAAUCGAAUGUCCGAAGUUCAAAAAAAAAAAUUUCGACUUAUGAGCAGAACGCAACUUGUUAACAGAGAAGGGGGCGACGGUUGUGCUGCCCUCAAAAGCGUAGGCGAAAACCGAGAUGCGCUCCAAAACCGAGAUGCGCUCCAAAAUAAUAAAUAAAUAUUUUCUAAUUGCUAAUUUUAAAUGCAUUAAAUUUAUGAUGUGGAAUAUU